UUUACAAUUCAAAACCCCGAGCUCUACACCAAUCUCCGUUACUUUAUUCAAAUCACCCCUGCCCCCCACCACGAACGCCUGACAGUUAAAGGCAAUGGGAGUAAUUGGCAGUUUUUUUCUUCCUUACUUGAAGCUUGAUUAAGAUACGGUGAAAGAACGUCUCGUAUAGGUGCGGGCGAUUUAGGCCUAAAGGCGAUAUUUAAAGCAUUCAGGGCUGCGAACAUUUUAGAGAAUGUGUUAAGAGAUGAAACCUCAUCUGAUAAAUAUUCAUACAGAGAAAUGCUACUUUAUGAUUUGUCUUAAAUGUGGCAGACGCUGGCCAAAACGAAAGGCAGACACAUCCCACUCGAACACACAGAACACCCUGUUGCGCACAGACAGCCCGACCACACAGCCCGCGAGACUUCCAGUUGAAUUUUUCCAAACUUAAAAUGAUCUUUAAAAAUGAUCAUCUGCGCGUCCUGAUGUGCGUCGACAGACGACAGUCGGGAGAACUAUAACACACAGUAAAGCCAUAAACGCCAGUGAAGCUUGGAGAAGUCUUUGAGUGGAGAACGCUCCACAAACAGGUGGAAUCAGGUGGCAUUAAAGUUAUUCUACACGUGGAAGUUUAAUCUAGCCCAUUCUACUUUAAUUUAAAUAUGGGAAGAAGUGGGCAUUUAUGGGGGGGAAAAAUGCAAGAAAAUGAUUUCCUGAAGAAAAUCCGAGGUGAAACUCACCGGACAUGAUGGCUGGGAUGGAGAGAUGAUUCCUGGAGAAGAGCUGAGGGACUCAACAAUGUCCUUUUCUGCCUCAGCAAAAUGGCCAAGAACGAAAUUUCUGCAAAAGUCUCCAAAAAUAGCAACACAAAUGUCUUACAGCAGAGCCAGAGCAUACAGAAUGAUUGUAAUAGAGCUGGGGACAUAUUAGUUUGAGAUUUUCUCCCUCCAUUCCCUCUAUUUAAAACCCCUAGAACUCAAUGAUUUGACAAUGAUUUGAUUGCGCGUUACUUACCAUUUGAAUAUUCAGAGGCAACUCUCUCAAAUCGAUUUUCAGUAAAAUCACUAAGCAUGAACACUGUAUCAAAUCCACUUUAAUCUCAUAUAUUAGUAUUUUACACUUUAACCUCGAAAAAAAUGCACUUUUAUUCAUUUUACCCUCCUUUUGCACUAUCCCAGCAUCAGCCCCCUUCACUUAGCACUGCAGCACCCACGACUGCUUCCGUGCAACCUUAAGAGCGCAUUUCACCUCAAACCUCGCGUUUAGCCUAGUCACGCAUUUUAAAAAGUUUAUUUCAUAAAAAAUACAUUAAAAGUGGCAAAGAGGGAAAGUGGGUGUGGCAAGGGCCAACAGCCCUCGUUGGCAUGGCAGGGCCUCCAGCUCCAUCAGAGUGCUCACACCUGCUGGGAGAACAGGGAGAGAGGCUCAGCAGCUUCACGCACAGUUCUGUCCUUGUCUUGGUUAUAUUUUCAUGAAAAUAAAAAUGCGUUUCAGGAUCAAAGGUUUCCGGUAAAGUGUGCCGUUUAAGAACCGGCCUUUGAAAUGUUUAACUCCCCCAGCAUUAUGAUUUAUGAUCAUUAUGAUCAAAAACGGUUAUUAUUUUAGAUUUUCUAUCAAAUCUGUGUUGAAAUCGAGU
ensembl:lncRNA